AUUUCAUGUCCCUCAUGAAUCAGAUCAAGCAUAGUUCUAGAAAAGUGAUGGAAAUAAAAUAAGAGACAAAAAUCUUUUUGGAUUUUGCAUUUAUAACUUUUUUUUAUUUUUCAAAUACAAAAGAAGAAGUACUAUAACAAAAGAUUCGAAAAUCUUAACUAGAUUGACAGACUCGAUACUAUUUUACAUGACUAAAAAUUGAAAAAUAACAUAAGAUAGACUAAAAAAUAGAAAGUUCCCUCAAGCAGCCGUUGCCUGCAAUGGUCUUGACUAGAAUGAUCCUAGGUAUUAGUCAUACUCAAGCUCUAGAAAAUUAAUCCAUACCUGAAUGAGAAAAAUAAGAUCAAAUAGAGUUAGUGACUGAAGACACAUGCGACGGCACGACAUCUUCUAUUGGAUAUAUGCAAGACAUGAUUAGGCUACUUUUGCAAAAUUAACAUAUGUGGCCAACGAUGGCUAUUAGUGCAAACUCAACAAAUGUGACCUCAAAUACAUGAUAAAUACCACACUAAGGCUUAUAUGAAUUCAAAUACACAAUAAUCAUGGCCCAAAAUUAGCUUGCAGAAAUAACUCAUUUUGCAAAAAUAGCCUAGCCUACGUAGAAGAAAGUUGCUAAAGAUGUAAACUCAAAAGGACGGACCUUAAAGUAAUAUGACACCUAGUUGUGGACCCAAAAUCCAAAGACAUGGGUAAUUGAACCAUUUUUUGCAAAAAUGACCACAUGUUGCAAGAAUAGACGAUGUGGCCAAAAGUGGCUAGACAUGCAAGAUUUGGCUAAGACCCCGCAAAGCCAAUAACCUAAGACUCACUAGGAAGACCGGACCCUAUGUGGGUUGCCUACGUAUCUCGCCCCGAAAGGACGAGAACCAGGUUCGCGUAGUUCGGGAAGAUUAGAUAUGGCAGAAAGCAUUAAACAAAAUGCAACUAAUUAAUUUGAAAAAACUAUAUCUUUUUGUGAAUUUGAAAAAUGAUGGAAAAUGUAAAAUAUUUUGGGUUUUCUUUAUUAAUAUCUUUUGAAAUUUUGGGAAAUAAUGGAGAAGCACAAAAUCUUUUUAAAUUUUCUGUUUUCAUUUUUUGUGAAUUUAUGGGAAAAAGAUGGCAAAGUGUAAUUUUUUUUGUAUUUUUGUAUUUUCAUUUUUUUGAAUUUUUGAAAAGUGAUGGAAAAGUGUAAAAUAUUUUUUUUGAUUUUCUAUUUACAAUUUUUUUUUUGAAUUUUGAAAGACUAUGCAAGAAAAAUGCGAGUGAGCCCUGCUUACUUUAUUUUUCACCAUUCUUUCCAAAUAUCGGUCUGCCAAAUGACCUUUUACCCUCAAAGAUGCAGCGUGUAUCACAUAUGGAUGAUUGAAUGUCUUUUUGGGCAACGGACUCAUUUUUGCAAAAUUUGGAUAAGCUUCCUACAAAGAGACACAGUGCCUGGGACCGAGCCACACUAGGUUCGAAUGACAUGAUGCAAAUAAAAAUGACCUAAAGGCUGACCUAUGGUUGAGGUUCACUAGACAAGGAAAUUCGGGGCGGCACAUGGUCCAUGGCGGCUACUUUAGCUGUCCGCCCACUCCACGCUCCCACGCCACCCCCUAAAGACACGGGUGACUCACAAAAAGGCCGUGUACGCUCAAACGUACUCUGAAAGACUUGUUGCAGAAAGAAGACCCGGAGUUAUGCAAAUGAUAACAGUUAUGAAGCAGUAAACACAUAAAGUAAAACUGUAAACACACAAGCAGCUAAUAAAUAAUAAAAGACAUAAAAAAUAAAAAUCAAAUAAAAAACAAAACACAUAAAAACCUCAAACGAACAUUGUAAAAGCCAACAAGAUCAAGUACUAGCUCGAACCUACAAGUCCCCAGCAGAGUCUCCAGAGAUGUCACACCCCUUUUUUAAACAAAACUCACUAAACCCUCUUAAAACAAGUAAACAAAUUUUAUAAAAGCUUGUCAAGGGUUUUCCAAUAUAGAAAGUUACCAAAAUUUGUGUUUAAAAGGAAUAACUCAGAGUCGCCACCUGACAUUUGAUUUCGGUGUGCCAGGCCACCAUUUUUUAGAAAUAAUUUUCCUUUAGAAACACUUUUGACUCAAGACUAAGUCUGCACCAGAGAUUCAGGUAAGGGGGUUCAUUUGACUCGGAGAGAAGGUGGUAGGCACUCCCUAAGUCCCUUGAAGGUCACGGUUGCGUACUCGAUCUAGUUGGCUUUUACGAUAUUCAAAUUGAGGUAAAACACACAAAAGAAAACAAACAUCCAAAAGAAUUUCGAGGCCGCCCCCACCUAAUAAAAGAAAAAAUAAAAAUAAAAUAAAAUCCUAUGCUAGCCUAUACUAUACUUCCUCCACGGAAUACGCCAUGGCCUCCAAUUACAUAGUACUUCGGGGUAUUUCCCGAGUUAAAAUAUUUACAAAGUUCACGAGGCAUUCCCCGGAUGAAUUUAUCUAAGGAAUGACCUCAUCGCAAAAUCAAAAGUAAAUGAAAAAUCCUAAGAUUUCCUACGCAUGUGUGGUCGGCCUAAAGCAUGCUCCAAGCGGGUAAAUAUGAAAAACAAAAAUAAAUAAAGCUAAAUAAAACAUUCAUCCCAUGUGUGACUUUCUAAUGACCUUUCAUUUUAUUUAAUUAAACCAUGCCCCGCAACUCAAUCACGAUUCAAUCGAUGACCAUUCUUGACCGUAUGGAUGACGAGCACAUAUUUAAUUUUAACUUAGUUAACAUUUCUCACAGUCUGUUUAAUUAAGAUGGCCUAAAUCACCAGAUCGUUACUGUACUUUGAUCACAAUCUAACAAACACUCAACCUCAAAAUGAAAGAUUAACAAAACAAGUUCAAAUUAAGUCAACCAAUCCAUAGCAAAGCUGAAAAACAAAUUUCGAAUAGGAAUAGAAUCACAGAUUGUUUGAAACAAGAUCUCAUACACCAUAUUAAGUUGAAAGAGCAAGAAAUGGACCUUUGUGAGUAGGCUUUCGCUUACAACAACGACAAUACGAACAAGAGCCGAAAUCGAAAACCUCGAUUCGAAGCUUGCCGAAACUCGAUGAACCUCGAACAACACCUCAAAAUUUAAUCUCCGGAAGUUGUUGUACAGAACUAAAUAUUGUCUCUAACUGUCGAUCGCAAACUGAAGUUUGCAGGCUUAUUAGUAUGGACUGUAUCUCUUCCGAUUUUCACAUUUUUAAUUAAGUCAUCAUGACUGGAUGUUAUGGGUGUAUGGAGAGAGAAAUCUCUGUUAAGAAGAAGCUAAAAGGUGAUGGAUUCCGGAGAGUUUUAGGUUGAAGAUGGAGAAGAGAGCAGCGGCGUUUCAGGGGGUGCAAGAGUGGUUGUUGUUGACGGUUAAGCGAUGAAGAAGAGAGGUCUUGGAGCGGCUGGUCCGUUGUGAAGAAGAUGAGCAGCGGUGGCGGCUUAGGAUCUGUGAAGAGUGACGAUGGAGAUGAGGGAGGGAGCGGCGGCGGCGGUACUUUUGGUGGUGAAUCGGCGGCUGGGAGGUUGUCUUGUGUAGGUGUGCUAAGGUUAGGUUUUUGUCCAUGUUUUGUCCAUUGUUCUCGUCUUGAAGAAGAAUGAGAGGUCUACGGUUUUUUUAGGUUUAAUUAAAGGGUAUUGGGCUAAGGUAAUUGUGGGUUACAUGAGUUAGAAAGAUUUGAGCUUGCUAAAAUUGGGCCUAGAUUUUAAUUGGACUAUAAAUUGGGCUAAGAAAAAGCUAAAAAUUUAAUUUUCUUUUAAAAAUACUUAUAAGAAG
rnacentral:lncRNA from 1 species